UACGUAGGGGGCAAGCGUUGUCCGGAAUCAUUGGGCGUAAAGAGCGUGUAGGCGGUCCGGUAAGUCGGCUGUGAAAGUCCAGGGCUCAACCCUGGGAUGCCGGUCGAUACUGCCGGACUAGAGUUCGGAAGAGGCGAGUGGAAUUCCAGGUGUAGCGGUGAAAUGCGUAGAUAUCUGGAGGAACACCGGUGGCGAAGGCGGCAUCCUGGACCGACACUGACGCUGAGGAGCGAAAGCCAGGGGAGCAAACGGG
rnacentral:rRNA from 1 species